UACGUAGGGUGCGAGCGUUAAUCGGAAUUACUGGGCGUAAAGCGUGCGCAGGCGGUUUGUUAAGUCCGUUGUGAAAGCCCCGAGCUCAACUUGGGAAUUGCAGUGGAUACUGGCAGGCUGGAGUACGGUAGAGGAAGGUGGAAUUCCCGGUGUAGCAGUGAAAUGCGUAGAGAUCGGGAGGAACACCAGUGGCGAAGGCGACGUCCUGGACCGGCAUUGACGCUGAGGCGCGAAAGCCAGGGGAGCAAACGGG
rnacentral:rRNA from 1 species